rnacentral:lncRNA from 10 species
AUGAACAUUGAACUCAGGAGUCUUGACUCUGAAUUUUCCUGCUCUUAAUCAGAAUUUCUUUGUUAACCUGCUACCAAGCCCACCCCUUUUUGGUGAUCCAGAGGAUUUUAUGCUCUUUGCUAAUAUUACUUGAAAUUUCAAAAGGAAUUAAUAUCAUGGCUAAAGAUGACUUCAAGCAAUUAUAAUUUUGAUUAUGCUUUUCCAAAAUCUCUACAUCCUCUUCUCUUUGGAGAUUCCAGUCCUUUUGUGCCCCGCUACCCUUUGUUGAAUUGGCUACUGCUUUAGAUCUUCCUUGUACCAGAAGCAUAAAAAUAGGUUACUGAAAUGCAGUAUAGUGUUUAUGCCUAGAGCCCUUAGGCCAUUAUUUUUUGUGUUCCACUGGUCACCACAUAGUUUAUUAGAGAAAAUUAGUAACAAAAGCACAACAUGUAAGACUCUUACUCCUACAUUUGUUUUGUCCAUGUUAGGUGACCUGUGACACCAGGUCAAAGGAACUAUUCUGUCCUCCAGAUUCUAAGUAGUUGAACCUACAGGAAACUGCAGAUUAUUUCAAUAAACACUUAUUUUCUUAGCCCAACACUUUGAUCCUACCUGUUAUAAGUGGGAAGUGAACAUUAAAAGAGUGAUACCUACUCAGAUCUGUAUUGUGUGUUAGGAAAGAGAAAAAAUCAGGUUAGAAAGCAUACACUGCACAGGAUGAGGGAAAUUGAGGCUUUAUCCUCAGUGCUUGGAUGCCAUCUGUACUGCCAUCUUUAUGUUGGUAUUUUGGUUAUGGUACUGUCAUCUUCGGUGGUAUGUAGAGAAUCUGAAGAUUAAAUUUGUAUUUUUAAUUUCUAUAUUGCAAAAAUGUUCCUAUUUGAAAAGAUAAUUUUAUAGCUACGAAGAAUGAGUUAACCCUUGUUUGCCAAGUUUGUUACUUAUUAAUUAUAUGAUGUACACACACACGCAGUACACUCUUAUUUUCAUUUGAUGCAUGUGGGAACUGAGGUUCACAUAGUUGAAGCAAUCUUAUUUCCACAUCUCAUGGGGUUGAGAGUGGGGAUAUUCUAGGCAGAAAGAGGUGCAAGAAAGCAGGAGUAAGCAAAAGGAGCAAGCCACCCACUCUGGAGCAUCAAGUACGUGUAGAGAAGUAGCUGCUAUGACCUACUUUCACUGUUUUCAGGAUACAUAUAGAGUAAGUCAGUGUUGAUGUUCUGAAUGGUCAAAUGAGGAUUUAAACCCAAGUUGUUCUAUUCCAAAAGAACCUUUCCUCUACAUUAUUCACAAUAGAAAAUGUUUUCCAUUUCAGUUGCUUCUGUAUUAAGCACAGCUUUUCUACAAAGAAUACCUCCUGCUUUCAUGACCUAGGUUUGGAUAAUUCCUGAUAUGUAAGAAUACAUGGAACUCUCCUGAAAACAUGCGUUCUAACAAUGAUUCCCUUGUUCACAGAAUGCUUUUAUUUGGUUUAGGCACAGAAAUUAUAAAGUCAUUUAAAGCCAUAUUUUCUAAGGUAUUUAACAUCCAAAUCAGGUCAAUGAACUGUGGCUUGUGGGCCUCUUUUUGUGAAUAAAGUUUUAUUGGAAUACAGCCACACCCAUUUGUUGAUGUGUUAUCUAUAAUCAUCUAGUACAGUUGUGAGAGUUGAGUUGCCACACUGUGUGGCUCCUGAGCCUAAAAUAUUUACUGUUCGGCUUUUUACAGAAAAAGUUUGCUGAACCCUAAUCUAAAUAAUAAAACCUCAAAUCUUAGGAAAAGCUUAAAGAACAGUCUCAAAAAACAGAAAAGCAAAGUGCAUGCCUUUGUUUCUAAUAGGCCUGACACUUUCAGUAACCCUUGAUUAUUGUACAUGCUUUUUGAUUCAACCUUUGAAAUGUUAAGCCACCUAUAAUAGGCCUAAAUUGUGAGGGGCAUCUUGUUCAGAGAAGAAGACUCAGGAGCGGAAGUCUGAGAACCUGGGUUAUAUUCUGACUUUGUGCUGACAAUCCACCUAUAGCUAUGGGUAAUUCACCUAACCACUCUGGGCCUUUGUUUCAUCAUUGGUAAAACACCAAUUCACACAAAAAACUUCUGAGGUAUAAAUUCAGUGUUUUUUAUCUGUUUCAUACUUCAAUAAAUUAUGCAAACGAAUAAUUGGUUUUAUGAGAUGAUGUCUGUUUUGUAAGACUACACUGCUAACUUUUUAAUAACUUUGCUUGUCUUGUGGGUUAUUUUAUUUAUUUGUUUGCUUUUGAGUUUUUGUUGUUGUUGUUGUUGGUUAGUUAGUUUGGUUAAUUGGUUUGUUCUGUUUUUAACCUGACUUAUAUGGACACCGUGGACAAGGAACUUCACUGUCUGUCACUAACUUACCUUAUUACUGAUUACAUUUGCUUUCAGCUUUUCAUAACUGCAUGAUAAAACCUCAGACCUUAGGAGAAGAGCAUAAAAAACAACCUCAAACAACAAAAAAGCAAAAUUACUUGGGGAAAUUAAGUAACUUGACCGUGGCUAACCAGCUAGUAAAUAAGAGAGUAUAGACCUGACACCACAUGUGUCUACACCACUACACUGCACUAUGUCAAAUCAACAAUAUACUUAUCAUUUCCUGAGUAAUGACAAAGGACAUUAUGCAGUAGACCAGAUGUUCUUCUGUUCUAAAUUGCCUAGCCACUUUUGUUCCUUCUGUCUGCUUUCUGAUGCUAAUAUUAUUUGAACAUAGAUUUUUCUCAGUAAUGAUUUCUAGUUGGCUUUUCCUUUCCUUUUGUCAUU